CCUACGGGUGGCAGCAGUGGGGAAUAUUGCGCAAUGGGCGAAAGCCUGACGCCGCGACGCCGCGUGAGGGAUGAAGGUCUUCGGAUCGUAAACCUCUGUCAGCAGGGAAGAACGGUCACUGUGCUAAUCAGCAGUGAAUUGACGGUACCUGCAAAGGAAGCACCGGCUAACUCCGUGCCAGCAGCCGCGGUAAUACGGAGGGUGCGAGCGUUAAUGGGAAUUACUGGGCGUAAGGCGCUCGUAGGCGGUAUGUCAAGUCAAGGGUGAAAUCACAGCGCUCAAGGUGGGAACUGCCUUUGAAACUGGCAAACUUGAGUGUGUGAGAGGAUAGUGGAAGUCAAGGGGUAGGAGUGAAAUCCGUAGAUAUCUGGAGGAACAUCAGUGGCGAAGGCGACUAUCUGGCACAUAACUGACGCUGAGGAGCGAAAGCGUGGGUAGCAAACAGGAUUAGAUACCCUAGUAGUC
rnacentral:rRNA from 1 species